CCUACGGGCGGCAGCAGUGAGGAAUAUUGGUCAAUGGACGAGAGUCUGAACCAGCCAAGUAGCGUGAAGGAUGACUGCCCUAUGGGUUGUAAACUUCUUUUAUAUGGGAAUAAAAUGUUCCACGUGUGGGAUUUUGUAUGUACCAUAUGAAUAAGGAUCGGCUAACUCCGUGCCAGCAGCCGCGGUAAUACGGAGGAUCCGAGCGUUAUCCGGAUUUAUUGGGUUUAAAGGGAGCGUAGGUGGAGUGUUAAGUCAGUUGUGAAAGUUUGCGGCUCAACCGUAAAAUUGCAGUUGAAACUGGCAGUCUUGAGUACAGUAGAGGUGGGCGGAAUUCGUGGUGUAGCGGUGAAAUGCUUAGAUAUCACGAAGAACUCCGAUUGCGAAGGCAGUUCACUGGACUGCAACUGACACUGAGGCUCGAAAGUGUGGGUAUCAAACAGGAUUAGAUACCCUAGUAGUC
rnacentral:rRNA from 1 species